AUGGUGCCCAUGACGCCGAACUCCCACUCAUGGGUGUACGACCGGAUGCGCUCGUUCACCAGGCUGACGCGCAUGCCGAGCUGCCGUCGCAGCGACUGGCGUCGACACCAUCUCCUGGUCGAAUCGCGUGGUGGAUGGCUACAGGAGGUCAUCCAUAACGGCAGAGAAGAGGAUUUAGAAAGAGCAGCAGGCAGGAGACGAAGGCGAAGCAGAAGAGGAUGGGAAAGUUGGUGA
rnacentral:rRNA from 1 species